rnacentral:rRNA from 1 species
UACAGAGGGUGCAAGCGUUAAUCGGAAUUACUGGGCGUAAAGCGUGCGUAGACGGUUGCGUAAGUCAGAUGUGAAAGCCCCGGGCUCAACCUGGGAAUUGCAUUUGAGACUGCGUAGCUAGGGUGCGGAAGAGGGAAGCGGAAUUUCCGGUGUAGCGGUGAAAGUGCGUAGAUAUCGGAAGGAACACCAGUGGCGAAAGCGGCUUCCUGGUCCAGCACCGACGUUCAGGCACGAAAGCGUGGGGAGCAAACAGG